AUUUCUUGCUUUGAUCUUGAAACAGAAUGUUUUAGCUUCUUUAAAGCUCCUCCUAAUCAUACUCAAGGAUUGCCCAUCAUAGGAGUAAGGUCCUUGUCUGCUGUGAGUGGUUGCCUAUGGUUUUGCAAGGAAGCAUCCGAAUAUGAAGAUGGUUUUGAGCGAUGUGAGCUCACUAUAUGGAUUAUGAAGGAAUAUGGAGUGGACG
rnacentral:lncRNA from 1 species